GACGAACGCUGGCGGCGUGCUUAACACAUGCAAGUCGAGCGGAGCGGCGCACGGGUGAGUAACUCGUGAGUAACUGCCCCCCUCUCUGGGAUAACAGUUGGAAACGGCUGCUAAUACCGGAUAGUGGGGGAUGACUCGCGUCCUAUCAGCUUGUUGGUGGGGUAGUGGCCUACCAAGGCGACGACGGGUAGCCGGCCUGAGAGGGCGACCGUCGACAUUGGACUGAGACACGGUCCAAACUCCGACGGGAGGAAGCAGUAAGGAAGAUUGCGCAAUGGGGGAAACCCUGACGCAGCAACGCCGCGUGGGGGAUGAAGGCUUUCGGGUUGUAAACCGCUUUCGCUAUCGAAAGGGUAGGUGGAGAAGAAGCGCCGGCUAACUACGUGCCAGCAGCCGCGGUAAUUC
rnacentral:rRNA from 1 species